rnacentral:rRNA from 1 species
UACGUAGGGGGCGAGCGUUGUCCGGAUUUAUUGGGCGUAAAGAGCUCGUAGGCGGUUUGGUAAGUUGGAUGUGAAAUCUCCAGGCUCAACUUGGAGGGGUCAUUCGAUACUGCCAUGACUAGAGUUCGGUAGGGGAGUGUGGAAUUCCUGGUGGAGCGGUGAAAUGCGCAGAUAUCAGGAGGAACACCCGUAGCGAAGGCGGCACUCUGGGCCGGAACUGACGCUGAGGCACGAAGGCCAGGGGAGCAAACGGG